CUACAUUUUUGGCGACGAGGAUGGCGGCUAAAUUGUUAACUGAUGUACACGGAUUGGGUCCGUUUGAUGGGAGCGUUGGCUUCGAGCGUUUGAACUAUUUGCCGAAGGAAAAGGGAUCACAAAUCAUGGGCAAAAGAAAGCUCUGUUGCUUCAAACAGCCGGAAUGAGCGCGCAGAACAUUUUCUUUACCUUACCGGACGAAACAGAGGGAACGAAUGUUUUCGUAAAAAGCGAUAAGUGCGUUAAACAAGCACUUUAAACCGCAGGCUAAGU